rnacentral:rRNA from 1 species
AGAAUCAACGCUGGCGGCGUGCCUAACACAUGCAAGUCGAACGAGAAAGUGGAGCAAUCCAUGAGUAAAGUGGCGCACGGGUGAGUAACACGUGACUAACCUACCCUGGAGUGGGGAUAACUGAGGGAAACCUUAGCUAAUACCGCAUAAUACCUACGGGUCAAAGGAGCAAUUCGCUCUAGGAGGGGUCGCGGCAGAUUAGCUAGUUGGCGGGUAAUGGCCCACCAAGGCAGUGAUCUGUA